ensembl:lncRNA
CUCCUGGAUAUCGUUGUUCAAAUGCAUAGUAACUCUGGAGCUUUGGCCUCCUGUGCCUACUGAAAGGCGGCAGAUUUAUCUUCUUGAACCCAGCAGCAAUAACUGGGGAAGGAAUAUAAGGGAAUUUUGAAGUUGCACAGUGCUCUUCCAGGCUGUACUGUGGCUGUUCUUUUUGAAAAGGCUCCAGCUCUCUCCUGGGUACCCAACCAGAACAUAGCAUCCUACCUGACUCUCUGAAGAAAACAAUUCCAUCCCAGCUGAAACUAAGGCACCUAGAAACGUCUUUUAAAUGCUGUGGCAGUGUCAUUGGAGCCCGUCAGACCUGGGACUCUGCUGAGAGAAAGGGCUGCAUGGUGCCAGGCAUGAAUCACACAGCACAUUGAUAAGGAUGGACAUUACUCAUCGGAUACCAUGGAGCCAGUGUGGCAGAACCGUCAUGGUCUAUUUUGAACUUGUUAUCUCACGCUCACUUCCUCGUACAUCAUGCAUUAGUCUCAACAGUAACCCACUAAAAUAACCCACAUCUCUUGUUUCUAGGAAAGAUCUUCUGCUGCUUACCAUCAUUCAGUGCGUUUACUUGUGAACAAGUCUGUAAGCAGGGUAGGACCCAGUGCAGCAUAAUCUAGGCCUUCAUGAUUUCAUAUCAUUUGGAGAUGAGACAGCUUUCCUGCUCCAACUCUUCAAGUAUUUUGAAUAUUUCAUAGCUUGUUUCUUGUCGUGAUCUCUUCAUCUUCCCUUAAAACGGGGCUAGAAUUUGUUUGCUUGGAUAUAUC